GGAAUCUUCCACAAUGGGCGAAAGCCUGAUGGAGCAACGCCGCGUGGGUGAAGAAGGUCUUCGGAUCGUAAAACCCUGUUGUUAGAGAAGAAAGUGCGUGAGAGUAACUGUUCACGUUUCGACGGUAUCUAACCAGAAAGCCACGGCUAACUACGUGCCAGCAGCCGCGGUAAUACGUAGGUGGCAAGCGUUAUCCGGAUUUAUUGGGCGUAAAGAGAACGCAGGCGGUCUUUUAAGUCUGAUGUGAAAGCCUUCGGCUUAACCGGAGUAGUGCAUUGGAAACUGGGAGACUUGAGUGCAGAAGAGGAGAGUGGAACUCCAUGUGUAGCGGUGAAAUGCGUAGAUAUAUGGAAGAACACCAGUGGCGAAAGCGGCUCUCUGGUCUGUAACUGACGCUGAGGUUCGAAAGCGUGGGUAGCAAACAGGA
rnacentral:misc_RNA from 1 species